UUUAUACAGUACUUCAUGGUUCACAAUUACGUGGAUUACAUACAAAUUGAUUUUGUGCUGACCAUCAUGAAAAAAAUACAUGAAUCAAUACAUUAAAUUUCUGGAUUAUUUCACAAACUGCUGUGCGACUGGGCUGUCUGACUGUACAGACAUCUUUGCCUGCAUCACCACAGGGUCACAAAAAAUCCCACAUAGCUAAGUCUUAGGUGGUUUAGGUUAUGUAAUGAACACGCCAUUGGUCUCUGUGAACACUGAUGUACCAAAAUCCAUUUCAGUGAUAAAUCUCUUGAGAGGCAGUGCGUGGGAGGCUACUUUCGCAGACCCUUCUGACUCCUGCGGUCAGUGGCAGGCGGAUGAACAGAACACUUUUAUGUAAGAAAUCCAACUUGUCAAACCCUCUCUGAGCACUUUUUUGUGCAUUUUGCUCAGUACUUAUUCUGUUUCUCACGCUUUGCUGAAGUGGUCGCAGUAAACCAGUAGAUGCCAACAGCUUGGGCACCGCAAGGUGUUUAUUUUUACCUGACGAGCACAGUGAUGGGAAAGUAGCAGAGAUUUUUACUGUGCUGCAAAAAUGCUGAUGGUCCCUUUUUUUUUACAUCCGUGGCUGAAAACGAGUUAAAUUAAUGAAAUCUUGCACCGGCUUGUGAGCCAAACAGCAUAAUGCACCAAAUGUGAGUAUAUGGUGUGUAUGAAGUAAGGACACAUGGAAUUUUAGAAGGCAUUAAUCACUUUCCUGACAGUUUCACCUCGACUUUGACCCAUUUUUUCAAAUUGCAGAACGGCUUGAUUUAAAAAGAAAGAAACUAGAUACACUGCUAGCUCCUAUAUUGGCCCCUUUCAAAUUUGUCCACCCCAAAAAACUUGCAUGCAUACAUGUAGGUGUUUCUGGAUCAAACCUCUUCUGCUGAGCUGGAUUGUGCAUGUUCAGUUCAGUAUUAUAAACCCCCAUCACUACCCUAUGGGCUGUGACCAAUGAGUAAGCAAUGACGCUGUUUCAAAAGUAUGUGAAAGGUUUGACUACUACAGUUAAUAACUGAAAGUGCUUUGCAGCCAACGGGAGACAAGAACAUCUGUUGAAACGCCCCCUGAGCCUUGUGAUGGAUGUAAUGUGGCCGAGAACAUCAUGUCUGUACUUUGAACUUUUGUGCACGCUGCACGGAGAUAAUACACAGCUCACUUUCGCUUUCUCAAAACAGAGUUUGAUGGCCAUUGUUUUGAGGUUUUGCAAGAGCAAAAACAGAGAAAGAGCCAUAAUGAGAAACAGAGACACAGAGGGAGAAAGAGGAAGAGGGGGGGAAAGAAAGAGGCAAGUUGGGAGCGAGUGCACUCAAUAAUGUUGGCGUUCCAGCUGGAUCGCAGAUUCAGAAUGUGGAGGUUUGCUCACACACAGGACUAAAAAGCCUUUCCAACAACAGCAGCUCGCUCGAUGUGACACAUCUCCACCUCCCAGCAUCUGAAUCACAGCAGAGUGAUGGUAAACGCAACCCUGGCAGACAGCAGAUGGCUUGCCAUCAUUUUCUCAACUGUCCUGGGACCAGAAGGUGUCUGAAUGAGGCUGUGCUGUGAUUACCCUUCUGAGGAAAACCAUGCAGGACGACAGCCAGCCGCAGGAGAGGCCGAAGUGGUGCAGGACUGGUUUAGAGCACUCAGACAAACAAUGUAAAUAAACACGUCAAUGUCA